rnacentral:tRNA from 1 species
GAGGGUCUAGCUCAGGGAUAGAGCACGUGCUUAGCAUGCACAAGAGCCUGGGUUCAAUCCCCAGCACCUCCA